CCCGGCGCUGGAGAAAGAGGUAAGUUUAACCCCUUCCUCCCCCCAGAGCCCAGUGGGAGGGGGGCCCUGAGGGUGGGGGCACCCUCAUGGCACUAUAGUGCCAGGAAAACGAGUUUUCCUGGCACUAUAGUGGUCCUUUAAUAUAGUUGUUCUGGUGAGUAUUAUCAUUCCCUGCAGGCAUUUUCAUGUAAACACUGUCUUUUCAGAAAAAAGGCAGUGUUUAAAUUUCCCCCGAAGAACACC